rnacentral:rRNA from 1 species
UGCAGUCGAGCGGACUUGUGGGAGCUUGCUCCCGCAAGUUAGCGGCGGACGGGUGAGUAACACGUGGGCAACCUGCCUGUAAGACUGGGAUAACUCCGGGAAACCGGGGCUAAUACCGGAUAAUUCUUUUCCUCUCAUGAGGGAAAGCUGAAAGAUGGUUUCGGCUAUCACUUACAGAUGGGCCCGCGGCGCAUUAGCUAGUUGGUGAGGUAACGGCUCACCAAGGCAACGAUGCGUAGCCGACCUGAGAGGGUGAUCGGCCACACUGGGACUGAGACACGGCCCAGACUCCUACGGGAGGCAGCAGUAGGGAAUCUUCCGCAAUGGACGAAAGUCUGACGGAGCAACGCCGCGUGAGUGAUGAAGGUUUUCGGAUCGUAAAACUCUGUUGUUAGGGAAGAACAAGUACCGGAGUAACUGCCGGUACCUUGACGGUACCUAACCAGAAAGCCACGGCUAACUACGUGCCAGCAGCCGCGGUAAUACGUAGGUGGCAAGCGUUGUCCGGAAUUAUUGGGCGUAAAGCGCGCGCAGGCGGUUCCUUAAGUCUGAUGUGAAAGCCCACGGCUCAACCGUGGAGGGUCAUUGGAAACUGGGGAACUUGAGUGCAGAAGAGAAGAGUGGAAUUCCACGUGUAGCGGUGAAAUGCGUAGAGAUGUGGAGGAACACCAGUGGCGAAGGCGACUCUUUGGUCUGUAACUGACGCUGAGGCGCG